rnacentral:lncRNA from 1 species
ACAAUUCCUGCCAGGAUUCUUGUAUUUCUUCUCUCUUUGGGGAGAACAAAGCUGAUACUUGAAUUUCAGGUAAAUGAAUUACCCAUGUAGCCUGCAUCUUACUUUUCCCCCUUUUCUUUUCUUUUACUUUGUUCUAUUCUAUGUUCUUCUACUGACACAGUGGCAAUGAGCAGGAAGAAAAUCUUGUUAUGUAGAUAACAAUCUGUGACUGAUGGAGCUGCCUGAGUGAGGGAAAGCAGGGAUGUUGACGCAUCAGUAAACACCGAAUGCCUCUGGAAACAAUAUAAAACAGAAAGAGUCAAAGAGGAUCAGAAAUAAAUGAAAUCUCUGACAACUAAACUGCUUAUGUGUUUAUCCUGUUGACUGAUUCUUUUCUGGAUUGUGCUCCUUGUGGGCAGGUUUAUUCUACAGGCCCCCAUUCAUUCCUCAGGAGUAACGCAGAAGGGACACUGACCAGCACAGCAGAGAGGGAGGUGUUUAAAAUGGAUUCUGUGGGUGUAGAGCCACUGUUUUCCCUGCAAAUGGUCUAGGUAAGACUGACUGUGGCUGAGCCUGUUUUCCUCAGCUUCUAUGACUCUGAGUGAUUUAAUUUCUCUCUGUUUCUUAGUAUAAAUGAGAUUAAACAGAUGAAUUUGCCUAAUAGAAGUGUUAAAUGCAUUAAUUAAGAGCUUUGAUAUUCACAGCAUUUCAUUGGCUAAAGCCCAGUGUGAGGGGAGCCCAUACUGAGUUUCAAGUGUGUUGUUUCAUCACAAGCUUCUUUCUGCCUGUUCUGAAUGGAGAG